UGGGGAAUAUUGCACAAUGGGGGAAACCCUGAUGCAGCGACGCCGCGUGGAGGAAGAAGGCCUUCGGGUUGUAAACUCCUGUCGACAGGGAAGAGAGAGGACAGUACCUGUGGAGGAAGCCACGGCUAACUACGUGCCAGCAGCCGCGGUAAUACGUAGGUGGCGAGCGUUGUCCGGAAUUACUGGGUGUAAAGGGCGCGUAGGCGGGUGAUUAAGUCAGUUGUGAAAUACCGAAGCUCAACUUCGGGGCUGCAACUGAAACUGGUUAUCUUGAGUGCAGGAGAGGUAAGUGGAAUUCCUAGUGUAGCAGUGAAAUGCGUAGAUAUUAGGAGGAACACCAGUGGCGAAGGCGGCUUACUGGACUGUAACUGACGCUGAGGCGCGAAAGCGUGGGGAGCAAACA
rnacentral:rRNA from 1 species